rnacentral:rRNA from 1 species
AUUGAACGCUGGCGGCAGGCCUAACACAUGCAAGUCGAGCGGAGCGGGGGACGGGGGAGUAAUGCCUAGGAAUGUGAAUGGGAGUGGGGGAUAACGUCAGGAAACGGGAGCUAAUACAGAAAACUAUCGGAAGAGGCUAGGUCGGAUUGGCUAGUUGGUGGGGUAAGGGCGAACCAAGGCCACGAUCCGUAACUGGUCUGAGAGGAUGAACAGUCACACUGGAACUGAGACACGGUCCAGACUCCUACGGGAGGCAGCAGUGGGGAAUAUUGGACAAUGGGCGAAAGCCUGAUCCAGCCAUGCCGCGUGUGUGAAGAAGGUCUUCGGAUUGUAAAGUGCUUUAAGUUGGGAGGCGUUACCAGCAGAAUAAGCACCGGCUAACUUCGUGCCAGCAGCCGCGGUAAUAC